UUAAGAGUCGAGUGGGACUGAAACUCAUGUCUGUCCCCGACUUUUUUGGAUUUAUUUUUGUCUGUCUGACUUAUUUUUAAUUUUUAAAAUUCUUUUUUUUCUCUGUUUUUUAAUUUUCUGUCCGUCUUCUUCUGUUUUUUUUAACCCCCUUUUUUUUUCUUCUUUUCUCUUCCUCUCUUCCCCUAACGUCGGUCUCCACCGUAUCACGGUUCUAUAUUAU
rnacentral:lncRNA from 1 species